UCCGGAUCUCAGAUCAAGCAAGAGGACCCGCCGAAUUUAAGCAUAUAAUUAAGCGGAGGAAAAGAAACUAACCAGG
rnacentral:rRNA from 1 species